AUUGAACGCUGGCGGCAUGCCUAACCCAUGCAAGUCGAACGAGUGGCGGACGGGUGAGUAAUGUCUGGGAAACUGCCUGAUGUAGGGGGUUAACUACUGGAAACGGUAGCUAAUACCGCAUACCAUCAGAUGUGCCCAGAGGGGAUUAGCUAGUGGGUGGGGUAUUCGCUCACCAAGUCGACGAUCACUAGCUGGUCUGAGAGGAUGACCAGACAACAUGGAACGGAGACACGGUCCAGACGCCAACGUGAGGAAGCAGUGGGGAAUAUUGCACAAUGGGCGCAAUCCUGAUGCAGCCAGGCCGCGUGUAUGAAGAAGGCCUUCGGGUUGUAAAGUACUUUCAGCGGGGAGGCGUUACCCGCAGAAGAAGCAACGGCGAACAACGGGCGAGCAGCCGCGGUAAUAC
rnacentral:rRNA from 1 species